CGCUGACACCCUGAUUCCGGACUUCGGAUCUCCAGAACUGAGCCCCCCAGCCUGUGAGCCAGAGGCUGAACCAGUUGAGGGACAAAGACCAGCCCGGCCUGGGUUCCUCAUCGGGCGACUGCCCCAGGACCUUGCCAUGUCCUUCACCAGCAAACGUGAGUUGCCUACUCUACCCCGUCCUCUGCACCCUCCUGUAUCCCACCACCACCCCGUUGCUUACCCUAAGCCCCUAAGCCAGGCUGCAGACGGUCCAGCUCCAUGGUUCUCAAAGUGUGGUCUGUGGCCCAGCACAUUGGCCUUCCCUGGGAGCCAGUGAGAAUGCAGAGUCCUAGGCCUCAUCCCAGACCUGCAGAAUGGGAAACGGCAUUUCCACAAGGCUCCCAGAGGGUUCACACACAUUGGUUUGAGAGGCCUGGCACCACAUAUGUGUCACUUAGGGGACACGAAGCAAGGC
rnacentral:lncRNA from 10 species